GACGAACGCUGGCGGCGUGCUUAACACAUGCAAGUCGAGCGGAAAGGCCACUUCGGUGGUACUCGAGCGGCGAACGGGUGAGUAACACGUGAGUAAUCUGCCCCUGGCUUUGGGAUAGCCACCGGAAACGGUGAUUAAUACCGGAUAUGACCACUUCACGCAUGUGUUGUGGUGGAAAGUUUUUCGGCCAGGGAUGUGCUCGCGGCCUAUCAGCUAGAUGGUGAGGUAAUGGCUCACCAUGGCUUCGACGGGUAGCCGGCCUGAGAGGGUGACCGGUCACACUGGGACUGAGACACGGCCCAGACUCCUACGGGAGGCAGCAGUGGGGAAUAUUGGACAAUGGGCGGAAGCCUGAUCCAGCAACGCCGCGUGAGGGAUGACGGCCUUCGGGUUGUAAACCUCUUUCAGUACCGACGAAGCGCAAGUGACGGUAGGUACAGAAGAAGCACCGGCCAACUACGUGCCAGCCGCCGCGGUAAUAC
rnacentral:rRNA from 1 species